rnacentral:rRNA from 1 species
UACGGGGGGGGGCAAGCGUUGUUCGGAAUUACUGGGCGUAAAGGGCUCGUAGGUGGCCAACUAAGUCAGACGUGAAAUCCCUCAGCUUAAACUGGGGAACUGCGUCUGAUACUGGAUGGCUUGAGUUUGGGAGAGGGAUGCGGAAUUCCAGGUGUAGCGGUGAAAUGCGUAGAUAUCUGGAGGAACACCGGUGGCGAAGGCGGCAUCCUGGACCAACACUGACACUGAGGAGCGAAAGCCAGGGGAGCAAACGGG